GUCGAUGGCCAUACCACUCUGAAGGCACUCAAUCUCAUCUGAACUCAGAAGCUUAGCAGAGUCAGGCCUGGUUGGAUG
rnacentral:rRNA from 1 species